AGUGCAGGAAAGCACAAUAUAAAUGCGAAGAGAGCUGGCGGGCUGAAGAGAAGUGACCUCACCGAGAAGCCGAACAGCCCUGAAGACAAACCACGAAGCAGAGCACCUUCUCUCCCGGCCCUGCCCAAACAUCCAAAAACAGUAACAGACUGUUCUGUCUCACUCACAUGGCUCUUCAUCAGUAUACUUGCAAAACAAGUGUCAUUUGCAGAGAGAAAUCAACAGAGGGGCUGCCAACAGCAGAUAAAAUGUGAUGGUCACAUCGUUAUUGCCCAAACAAAAUGUUAAUUCAGAAACUCAACAGCCUUGCAAGACUCUUCCGAAACCUGCUUUCUGAGCACACAGUGGUACUGCAAACUGUUUAAUUACAACACUUCAUGUUCUACAACUCCUGUGGAAAAACUAAGAACAUCAUCCUUCUUAGAAAUGUACUGACGAGUCCUUAUUACUAUUUAUUUGUAAUGCAGUAGUGUCUAGAGGCUCCAA